rnacentral:rRNA from 1 species
GAGUUUGAUCGUGGCUCAGAUUGAACGCUGGCGGCAGGCUUAACACAUGCAAGUCGAGCGGGGGAGGUUGCUUCGGUAACUGACCUAGCGGCGGACGGGUGAGUAAUACUUAGGAAUCUGCCUAUUAAUGGGGACGAACAUCUCGAAAGGGAUGCUAAUACCGCAUACGCCCUACGGGGAAGGACAGGGGAGUCACUUGUGACCUUGCGUUAAUAGAUGAGCCUAAGUCGGAUUAGCUAGUUGGUGGGUAAA